UACAGAGGUCUCAAGCGUUGUUCGGAUUCAUUGGGCGUAAAGGGUGUGUAGGUGGCGCGCUAAGUCGGGUGUGAAAUUUCGGAGCUUAACUCCGAAACUGCAUUCGAUACUGGCGUGCUUGAGGACUGGAGAGGAGACUGGAAUUCAUGGUGUAGCAGUGAAAUGCGUAGAGAUCGGCAGGAACACCCAGGGAGAAAUCAGCCGCCUGGGCAAGUGCUGACGCUGAGGUGCGAAAGCGUGGGGAGCGAACCGG
rnacentral:rRNA from 1 species